UGGCACUGCAUCAUGAGCCACGAGCA
rnacentral:piRNA from 1 species